rnacentral:lncRNA from 1 species
AAGACUUAUACAAUUUCAACUAUUCAGAGUAUUUCAAGGGAAGCAAAAUGUAAUAAAGAGGCUAAUACCAAAGCCCUGGUGAAACACAGUGUUUUGCACUCUCAGCUCUAUUAUGAAUGACAAUAAAACUGUCCUGGCUGAUAACAGGAAUUUGUUCCAUCCUUGACAUAGUUUCUGGUAGAGCAGCAAGUAUCCCCCAAAGCCCAACAUGUUUUCAUUGUUAACAGUAAAUGUUUUCAGCAGCUGUGAAAUUAACACAUUUCUGCAGUGCACAAUUCUCAAAAAUCUCGAGUUAAAAAGAUCUCAGGCUUCAGAUUUGCUCUGAGACUUCACAAACACCACUACACUUGUUCUUAGCAAUGGGUCUGCACUUGGUCCUGGACCACAGCUCAUGUCCAGUGACACAGUUACAGUGCCACCACAUUGGAUGCAGGGGCUCCAAAGCAUAUUUGCUUUAUAAGCAAGUAAAUUUGUUGUUAGUAAAUUCCUGUCUGCUCAGGAGCUGCUGCUGCUCAGGGCUAAGGUGAAAAGCUCAGCAAAUGCACCUGCUGCAAGUGCAGCUCCAAAAAAGUCACCACUGAGGCAUGUGUAACUGGAUUUAAGUUGCUCAUAUCCUUAUUCUAUAGAUGAGAAAAACCCAUCAGAACUUUCUGUACCUGUACAGGCCCUCUGAUCUUUAAAAUGGUUAUGCAAGGAAGUCAAAAUUAAUCAAGCUGCUCUUUUAUCUAAGGGGUUCAGAUUGAAAGGCAAACACAAAUAUCUUGAUGAUACUGUUCCUCAGAAAAUAUCUGCACAGUAAGAGUCCAUGCCCAGCUCCUGAAGUGACACUUGACACAGAUUUUAAGCAGAGAAAAGGUUCUAUGUGCCCAAAUUCCCAUGUUUUGUUUCACUUAAGUUUCAAAACAAUAUACGUUUGCAUGCAUGCCUGUUUGAAAAAUGUCCAUUAUAAAAGAUAAAAACCACAAACCACCAGUCACAUUUCUACAAUGUCUGUUAGCUUAAAAUUAUUUUGUAAAUUGCAGUAACAUACUCGAUUGCUGAAAUUUCAUAUCAAUGGUUUAGUCAAGUUGUCAUUCUCCAAACAUGUACUGAUCAAACAGUUUUGGGAAUGAACAUCAGGAAGAUCAAACUGAGAUGAAGGAAAGAAAAAGACUCAAACCUAAAUUCUUGGAUUUACUGGGGGUGGUUUAUUUUCAUUUUUGGGAUUAGUUUUUAAAAUAUAAAACCUUUGUUUUCUUAUUAAAUGCAUUGAGUUAUUACAUCAAAAUUUAUUCUGUUGCCUCUUUAUGAUAGGGAUGAUAAGGCAAUGGAAAUCCAGGCUUGAAUGAGAAAACCCGCUUAGCUUUUAUCACCAACAUCUUCUAAAAAUAGUGAGUUCAUUACUAUGGAGACAAAUCCCACUUCUUCCUGGGAAUUACGUGUCUACAUGUCUUGAAAGCUGUCUGGCAAAUUUCACACCUAAGAAGAAGAACUGAGAAGAGUUUUUUUUUCUUUUCAUUUCCUGCUUUACAAAGAAAAAAAACCCCAAACUAACCUUAUAUUCAUUAGUUGCACACUUUAUCUCAUCUAUUUUCAGGUAACUUUACCUUGUCAGAAGGCCACCAGGAAGGUGGGGAAAAGAGUGGUAUAAGUGGCAUAUGAGAUGUAUUAAAAAUGUAUGAGUUGGAGGUCUCUUCAUACACAUGGAUGUUCCCUGGAACCUGGUAAAGUAAUUUGCCUUUUAUUAUAUGGGCACCCUGAAUUGCUGCAAUAGGGAUUUAAGAACAUAUUUAACUUUUGGUCAAAGGACUUAAAUAAAUGCUUGAAUUGGUCCCAGAUUUUAAUCUUCCUUCAACCUGUAAAUGCUGGUAGAAGACCUGUUGCACCACAGGAUUUAAAGAGCACUGGAGGAUUUGCCCUCUCCCAGGUGAACCGCAGCCAUGUGGUCCCUGGCAGCCUCUCUUGGAAGGCACAUGGGGAGGGCAUAAGGAAAGGAGGAACAAGUAACAGCAGGGAAAGUAUUUUCCUUUUGAUGUUAGCUGUCCACCACAUCUCAUCCCAAGACCAAAAUUUUGGAUUUUCUGGGAACACAGAAGCCACUGGCAAGCUCUUGCCUGCCAUUGCUCUAAGCUAAAUAGCCUGCAGGUUUUGGUCCUUGCUGCUGCACUGUCAGUGAACCACGACUUAUAUUUACAGCCUAAGGAUACAACUGGAGUUGAGAACAUUUCAGAGAGCUCAGAGGACCGAGCUCUCAGAUUUUCUCCACUCUGGGUCAGUCAAAAUCCCACAUCGAUGUUGUGCUCUCUGUGUGUCAAUAGGCUGCAAAAACAGCACUGAAAUGUUAAAUGUCAUGUGCAGAUGUAGAUCAAAUGCUUUGCCAAGCUGUGGUAGUCUCCAACACAAAUGUGGACAGCAGAAGCACACAGCACUGUAGCCUGAGCACAAGUCCUAGCUGCAAGGGUCCUGGCCCCAUUAGAAAUUAUUCAGACAGACAAAUAUUGGAAGUGCGACUGCAGUUUUGGAUAGAUGGGAUAAAAUGAUCAAAGGAGAAGAGACCUUUGCAAACCCUAGACAGUGGGGUCAGGUUCUUUGAAAACAACCUGCUUUAUGAUGUGCCACUCACUUCUGCUUUCUCUUUAUUUAGAUGCCAAACGAAUGCAGCCACUAUUGAGUACUGAGGUAGGAGCUUUUUUUUUUUUUUUUCUUUUUGAGCAAACUGAGAAAUGGUAAAAGUUUUCUCAGAUUCUGGAAACUCCAGGUAUCUGCAGUUAGAGGUCAAGAGACCCC